UUGCACCGUACUGAUUUAUUUCGUAAACUAUUUCUGGGAGAACAACGCAAAAUACAUGUUUUCAUAUUUCAUUCAAUUUGAUGCUGCGGACAGCUCUUACACAAUUGCCUUCUACUAUAUAGGGAUGAUGAUUGUAAGUCUUAUCAACAUGGUCUGUAGUAUCCUGGUGUUAAGAAAUGUUAAAGAAGUGCUUAAAGUUGAACUAAAGGAGAGGAACAUAUCAAGAUAUUUAUUUUGGCUGCGAUUACCUACGAAAUUGGGAGUUUUUUGGAGUCUGGAUUUGAUUCUCUGUGUAAUGCAGACCUAUAGAGUUUUUCCACACUUCCUGUGGGUAGCCGAUUAUUUUCAUGCUGCCAUUGGAAUACAAAUUUUUUUGCUAUUUGUUGUUAGGAGAAAAAUCCUUGAAUGGCUUAGAAAAGAAGACCCAGUGGAAGUAAGGCCGCUGACUGUGGACACUUUCGGAGGUGAAACAUCUUUCUAAACAAAUGAAAAUGAUGAAUCUAUUUUUAACAUACAUUUAUACAUUUAAAAUUGGAAUGAUGAAUCCAAUAAAUAUCCAACAUAAAUAAAUAUUUUAAGUUCGUACCUAUUCAGCCCA